AGGGAUGCAGCUCAGGGGCACAGCGCCUGCCUCACAAGCACAAGGUCCCGAGUUUGAUUCCUGGCACCCCUG
rnacentral:tRNA from 1 species